GCCGGUUCCCGCAGCCCGGUAUCAGUGGUUGGAUCCAAGGGAAUUCCGGAACCCAAACGGUCCAUUAUCGCGGCUCUAGGGCUGUCGGGAAGAAGGUCGGCGCUCUGUGGUACCUCAGUGCGGUCAGCCGGUGGGCCGUGCGCAUGCGUCCCACACCUGCUUUCAGUGUGUGAGGAGGGGCCCGAAGGUAUUUUCAGAACCCGUUUGGUAGGUGGCUACGACCGAGGAAGUUACCUGGUGGCGCUUCUGUCACUUAAAAAGGCUCUUCAUUUCCGAGCCAAUUCUAGAAAAAUAAAUUUGCAUAUUCGUUGCUUGUUAGUCUUA